rnacentral:rRNA from 1 species
UGAGUUUGAUUAUGGCUCAGAUUGAACGCUGGCGGCAGGCCUAACACAUGCAAGUCGAGCGGUAACAGGACUAGCUUGCUAGUUGCUGACGAGCGGCGGACGGGUGCGUAACACGUAGGAAUCUGCCCGGUAGUGGGGGAUAGCCCGGAGAAAUCCGGAUUAAUACCGCAUACGCCUUACGAGGGAAAGAAGGGGCCUCUUCAGAGCCUUUCGCUAUCGGAUGAGCCUGCGUCGGAUUAGCUAGUUGGUGGGGUAAAGGCCUACCAAGGCGACGAUCCGUAGCUGGUCUGAGAGGAUGAUCAGCCACACUGGGACUGAGACACGGCCCAGACUCCUACGGGAGGCAGCAGUGGGGAAUAUUGCACAAUGGGGGAAACCCUGAUGCAGCCAUGCCGCGUGUGUGAAGAAGGCUCUAGGGUUGUAAAGCACUUUCAGCGAGGAGGAAAGGUUGCUGGUUAAUACCCAGCGGCUGUGACGUUACUCGCAGAAGAAGCACCGGCUAACUCCGUGCCAGCAGCCGCGGUAAUACGGAGGGUGCGAGCGUUAAUCGGAAUUACUGGGCGUAAAGCGUGCGUAGG